rnacentral:rRNA from 1 species
AUGGGGAGGUCGAGUAAAAGAUCCCAACGUCCGGCCGACCUCAUCAGCGUCCUCCCGGAGGAUCUGCUUCUGGAGAUCCUCGAGCGUCUUGGCUCCGCCCGCGCCGCCGCGGGCACCAGCCUCCUCUCCCGCCGGUGGCGCGGCCUCUGGACCCGGCUCCCCAGCCUCACCCUCAGCCUCCGCGACCUCCCAUUCGGCUCGAUCCAGGCCGCGCUCCACCGCGCCGCUCGUCCCGGUGUGUACAUCUACCACCUCAACAUCCGCGUCGCUGGCCAGGCCGGCAUGAUCGGCGCCGGGACCUUCUCCUCGUUUCUCCGGGACGCUGCGAGCCUCUCGCCGGUGGAGCUGCGCCUCACUCUCCCGCGGAACCUGCAAGUCUCCUGCAUGGAGGCGACACUGCCCAGCUUCCACCGCGCCACCUCCAUGGACCUGCGCGCGAGGGCCCUCCACUUAGCCGUGUUCGCAAAGCCAUGUGCGGCCAGUGGCUGGUAUGUCCCCUUCCGCUCGCUGGAGAGACUCUGCCUUUCGGGAUGCCACAUCGAUCUGGCCACCUUCAUCCCGUUCUGCCCGCGCCUGCGCGUGCUCCGGCUGAACACCACCGGUCUGAUAGACAUGAGCAACAUUACGGUCCACUCCGCGUCGCUGGAGGAGCUCGUCGUGGAGCACGGCAACAGAUGGACCGGCCGCACCCAUAUCAGCAUCAGCGUCGACUCCCCUGUGCUUAAGCAAUUGACAGCGUCCUUCCAUGCCUGCGGCAACAUCGGGGUGUCCAUCUUGGCCCCAAUGCUGGACAAGGUCUGGUGGCGGUGCUCGUAUGCCAAGCCGAUCUAUGGGCUUGGUCUUUGGGGCCUCUCAGAGAUGGGCUUCAACACCCAAGAGACAGACUCCGGGAGAGACGCCUGUGUACAGCUCCCUAGCGUCCAUGUCCUGUCCCUACACAUAUCUGCCGUCCAGGAUUCAGUUAGCUUUCCAAAUGCAGAGCUCAGCUUUGAGGCAGAGAUCGAUAAACAUAUGGUUACCAACUUCUCUGGUCUGGACCUACAUCUCAGCACCAAGGGCCAUGUGUUUGGAGCUUUUGUGCUGCAUCUCCUUGGGAUGCAUCAGAUUCGUACAGCUUUACGGAACCUUAAGAUUGUCCUGCUAAGAUCAGAGGUGAAAGAUGCAUGCCCAGUAAAUUGCCUCUGUGAUGAGCCUAAGAACUGGAGAACAGAAACUAUCACCUUGGCUGAUCUUGAAAACAUGGAAAUUGAAGGCGUCGGCGGGGAAGAUCACGAGUUUGAUUUCUUGAAAGUGAUAUUUAGAUGUGCUCCAAUGCUUAAAACGGUGACCGUGAGGCUGUCAGAUGGUGUCACUCCAAGUGUCGAUUGGUGCACAAAAGUAAACAACAUGUUCAUGGCAUAUCCUUCUAUCGAAUGCAAUGCUGAUCUGGUAAGCAGGGCCAAAGCAGUGUGUUGA